GUUCUGUGUCACUCCUGAUAAGCAUUAAUUACGUAAUAAGCGGUUCAUUGCAAAAGCUAAUAUUCUGUCUUUUCUCCCUCACUUGUCCUGGGAUUGGUACAUCUCUCAUGGGUAUCAUGGGUAUUUGUUUAUCCAUUUGUCAA